rnacentral:rRNA from 1 species
CAGCCGCCGCGGUAAUACAUAGGGGGCAAGCGUUAUCCGGAAUUAUUGGGCGUAAAGGGUGCGUAGGCGGCCAUUUAAGUUUGAGGUGUAAGUUCAAGGCUCAACCUUGUGAUGCUUCAAAAACUGGAUGGCUUGAGAGAGGUAGAGGCAAGUGGAAUUCCAUGUGUAGCGGUAAAAUGCGUAAAUAUAUGGAGGAACACCAGUGGCGAAGGCGGCUUGCUGGGCCUCGUCUGACGCUGAGGCACGAAAGCGUGGGGAGCAAACAGGAUUAGAUACCCUGGUAGUCCACGCCGUAAACGAUGAGUACUAAGUGUCGGGAUAACCCGGUGCUGCAGUUAACGCAUUAAGUACUCCGCCUGAGUAGUACGUGCGCAAGCAUAAAACUCAAAGGAAUUGGCGGGACCUCGCACAAGCGGUGGAUCAUGUUGUUUAAUUCGACGAUACGCGAAGAACCUUACCAGGCCUUGACAUACCGAGCAAUGCUAUGGAGACAUAGUGGAGGUUAUCUGGGAUACAGGUGGUGCAUGGCC